AUAGCGAGGAAAGAAACCAACAGGGAUUGCCUCAGUAACGGCGAGUGAAGCGGCAACAGCUCAAAUUUGAAAUCUGGCCCUUUCAGGGUCCGAGUUGUAAUUUGCAGAGGGUGCUUUGGCGUGGGCGGCGGUCCAAGUUCUUUGGAACAGGACGUCACAGAGGGUGAGAAUCCCGUACGUGGCCGACAGCCCUCGCCGUGUAAAGCCCCUUCGACGAGUCGAGUUGUUUGGGAAUGCAGCUCUAAAUGGGAGGUAAAUUUCUUCUAAAGCUAAAUAUUGGCCAGAGACCGAUAGCGCACAAGUAGAGUGAUCGAAAGAUGAAAAGCACUUUGGAAAGAGAGUCAAAAAGCACGUGAAAUUGUUGAAAGGGAAGCGCUUGCCGCCAGACUUGCCCGCAGUCGCUCACCCGGACGCUCGUCCGGGGCAUUCUUCUGUGGGCAGGCCAGCAUCAGUUUGGACGGCCGGAGAUUGGCCUCUGUCACGUACAUUCCCUCCGGGGUUUGCCUUAUAGGGGAGGCGUAGUACGGCCAGUCCAGACUGAGGUCCGCGCAUCUGCCAGGAUGCUGGCGUAAUGGCUGCAAGCGGCCCGUCUUGAAACACGGACCAAGGAGUCUAACAUCUAUGCGAGUGUUUGGGUGGAAAGCCCGGACGCGCAAUGAAAGUGAACGGAGGUGGGAACCCUCGGGUGCACCAUCGACCGAUCCUGAUGUCUUCGGAUGGAUUUGAGUAAGAGCAUAGCUGUUGGGACCCGAAAGAUGGUGAACUAUGCUUGAAUAGGGUGAAGCCAGAGGAAACUCUGGUGGAGGCUCGCAGCGGUUCUGACGUGCAAAUCGAUCGUCAAAUUUGGGCAUAGGGGCGAAAGACUAAG
rnacentral:rRNA from 1 species